CAGUCGCCACGGUAAAACGGAGGGUGCAAGCGUUAAUCGGAAUUACUGGGCGUAAAGCGCACGCAGGCGGUCUGACAAGUCAGAUGUGAAAUCCCCGGGCUUAACCUGGGAACUGCAUUUGAAACUGUCAGGCUGGAGUCUUGUAGAGGGGGGUGGAAUUCCAGGUGUAGCGGUGAAAUGCGUAGAGAUCUGGAGGAAUACCGGUGGCGAAGGCGGCCCCCUGGACAAAGACUGACGCUCAGGUGCGAAAGCGUGGGGAGCAAACAGGAUUAGAUACCCGUGUAGUCCCUGUCUCUUAUAC
rnacentral:rRNA from 1 species